GACGAACCGAGCGAACGUUAUUCGGAAUCACUGGGCUUAAAGGGCGCGUAGGCGGGCCGUCAAGUCAGGGGUGAAAGCCCCCAGCUCAACUGGGGAAGUGCCUUUGAUACUGACGGCCUCGAGGGAGAUAGGGGUGUGCGGAACUUCCAGUGGAGCGGUGAAAUGUGUUGAUAUUGGAAGGAACGCCGGUGGCGAAAGCGGCACACUGGGUCUUAACUGAUGCUGAGGCACGAAAGCCAGGGGAGCGAACGGG
rnacentral:rRNA from 1 species